rnacentral:tRNA from 1 species
GGCCCUGUAGCUCAGACGGAUAGAGCUGGAGAUUCCUAAUCUCUGUAAGUCGCAGGUUCGACUCCUGCCAGGGUCA